GCGUCGGUAGCUUAAUUGGAUAGAGCGUCACCCUGACUAAGUGACAGGUGCGGGUUCGAAUCCCGCCCGGCGCG
rnacentral:tRNA from 1 species